rnacentral:ncRNA from 1 species
AAAGGCUUGGUCCUAGCCUUUCUGUUAAUAAUAAUUAAACCUACACAUGCAAGUUUCCGCUGCCCAGUGAGAAUGCCCUUACAGUUCUACCCAAGCAACUACUAGGAGCAGGUAUCAGGCUCGCCACCGGUUGCCCACAACACCUUGCUCAACCACACCCCUACGGGAUACAGCAGUGACUAAAAUUAAGAAAUAAACGAGAGUUUGACUAAGUUAUAGUUAAUUAAGGUUGGUAAAUUUCGUGCCAGCCACCGCGGUCAUACGAUUAACCUAAACUAACAGAGUAGCGGCGUAAAGCGUGUUUAAGUUGAACAUUAAUAAAGUUAAGAUAUGACUAAGCUGUAAUACGCUCCAGUUGAUGUAAAAAUGACCUACCAAAGUGACUUUAAUAGAACUGAUAACACGAUAGCUAAGAAACAAACUGGGAUUAGAUACCCCACUAUGCUUAGCCUUAAACCCAAAUAUUUUAUCAACAAAACUAUUCGCCAGAGAACUACUAGCAAUCGCUUAAAACUCAAAGGACUUGGCGGUGCCCUAAUCCCAUCUAGAGGAGCCUGUUCUAUAAUCGAUAAACCCCGAUAUACCUUACCUCUUUUUGCCAAUACAGCUUAUAUACCGCCAUCGUCAGCUCACCCCAAUAGGGUAUUAAAGUAAGCAAGAUUAUUCAUCAUAAAAACGUUAGGUCAAGGUGUAGCAUAUGAAGAGGAAAGCAAUGGGCUACAUUUUCUAUAAUAGAAAAUUAACGAAAUAUCUUAUGAAACUAAGAUAUACUGAAGGAGGAUUUAGCAGUAAAUUAAGAAUAGAGAGCUUAAUUGAAACAGGCAAUAGGGCGCGCACACACCGCCCGUCACCCUCCUCAAUAAAUGCACAAACCAUCCAUAAUAAGAUAAAGAAUUAAAGAGGAGAAAAGUCGUAACAUGGUAAGUGUACUGGAAAGUGCACUUGGAUUA